CGGCGGACGGGUGAGUAACACGUGGAUAACCUACCUAUAAGACUGGGAUAACUUCGGGAAACCGGAGCUAAUACCGGAUAAUAUAUUGAACCGCAUGGUUCAAUAGUGAAAGACGGUUUCGCUGUCACUUAUAGAUGGAUCCGCGCCGCAUUAGCUAGUUGGUAAGGUAACGGCUUACCAAGGCAACGAUGCGUAGCCGACCUGAGAGGGUGAUCGGCCACACUGUAACUGAGACACGGUCCAG
rnacentral:rRNA from 1 species